ensembl:scaRNA
GGCCUGUCUCCCUUGGGGCUGUGGGGUCCCUUUUCUUCUCAGCCAGGACUGGAGGCUGAGAUUAGCCCUGUUGAGGCCAUCGUCGGGACUGCACGAGCUGGGCAGCCUCAUUUUCCUACCUCAUACAUCU